rnacentral:rRNA from 1 species
GGGAUACCACUUGGAAACAGGUGCUAAUACCGGAUAACAACAAUAGCUGCAUGGCUAUUGCUUAAAAGGCGGCGAAAGCUGUCGCUAAAGGAUGGACCCGCGGUGCAUUAGCUAGUUGGUAAGGUAAUGGCUUACCAAGGCGACGAUGCAUAGCCGAGUUGAGAGACUGAUCGGCCACAUUGGGACUGAGACACGGCCCAAACUCCUACGGGAGGCAGCAGUAGGGAAUCUUCCACAAUGGGCGAAAGCCUGAUGGAGCAACGCCGCGUGAGUGAAGAAGGUUUUCGGAUCGUAAAGCUCUGUUGUUGGUGAAGAAGGAUAGAGGUAGUAACUGGCCCCUAUUUGACGGUAAUCAACCAGAAAGUCACGGCUAACUACGUGCCAGCAGCCGCGGUAAUACGUAGGUGGCAAGCGUCGUCCGGAUUUAUUGGGCGUAAAGCGAGCGCAGGCGGAAAGAUAAGUCUGAUGUGAAAGCCCCCGGCUUAACCGAGGAAUUGCAUCGGAAACUGUGUUUCUUGAGUGCAGAAGAGGAGAGUGGAACUCCAUGUGUAGCGGUGGAAUGCGUAGAUAUAUGGAAGAACACCAGUGGCGAAGGCGGCUCUCUGGUCUGUAACUGACGCUGAGGCUCGAAAGCAUGGGUAGCGAACAGGAUUAGAUACCCUGGUAGUCCAUGCCGUAAACGAUGAGUGCUAAGUGUUGGGA